AGAGUUAAACAGUACGUGAAAUUGUUGAAAGGGAAACGAUUGAAGUCAGUCAUACCAACGGGAAAUCAACCUCUUGAGUUUGGUCUUGUGGGUUUCGAAGAGUUUAAAAGCCUUCGGAUUUGCGAGGAUUGGGCUCUUUUGGUGUACUUUCUCGUACGGUUAGUCAACAUCGGUUUUGAAUGUCAUAAAAUGACUGGAGGAAUGUGGCUUCGAUCUCGUAUUGAAGUGUUAUAGCCUUUGGUAGAUGUGAUGUUCGAGACCGAGGAUUGCAAUGGAUACCCUUCUGGGCUAUUCGUCUGAUCUCUGAUACGUUGCCUUGAUGUCGAAAGCUCGCUUAUGAUGUUAGGGUAUUACGGUCAAAAGGUUAGAACGGAUUAAAUUCGUUAAGGAUGUUGACGUAAUGACUUUAAACGA
rnacentral:misc_RNA from 1 species